UCGUGUAUCUGCGAGGACAAAGACAAAGGCAAGUGAUCCAGUCCGUGAGAAAGCUAGUGCCUUGAAAGCACAACCGUCUUAGAGAUAGAGAGAGCACUCUCGAAGAGAAGGGUUUGAAUGGAACGCUAAGUGGUUCUAUGUGAAAGCAAUACAAUACAAUAAGGGUCCUUCUCAUUCCUUUCGAAGAAUAUGAUAACUUUUUAAAAUGUAUUACUAGAGAUGAUUUAUUAAAAACUGAGCAACACCUAUCUCGGUUAGGAGAGACACCCAACAUCAACAAUAAAGUCUUCUCCUCUCCUCUCUGACCUCCCCGCCUACAUCCCCCCCCCCCCUCUUCUUCACCUUUCCUUUCUCUGUAAGUAACCAAGUAUCUUCUCAAUUUACCUUUGGAUUUGUUUGUAAAGGAUUUUGCAACUGUUGUUUUCUGACAGAUAGGUUUGCACAUGUCUUUGAUCCAAUAUUGUCUUACCCUGUCUUUCUCUACCAGCAGUAUGGUGGAUUUGCGCUCCGUUUUAACUAAAGAAUUUUAUUGGCUCGCAUCAUACUUUGGGGGCAUCAUCACCUGCAAACUACUUUAGGAGGUCUGGAGUAUGUAAGUAGAGAAUCAUGCCUGAUGUUAUUUAUAUUACUGCUCUUGGUCCCAGUUCCCGGAAGCAAUUUGAUUUAAAGCAUUUGCUUAACCAAGAAUUGUGUUUCUUCAAAUAAGCUUUUGGUAUUUUGCUGCUCUCUCCUUGAAAUAUUGGAUCUACUGACAUGUUUGUUUUGAAUUUUGAUGUUUAGGAUUUGUUUGGCCUAGAUGUUUUAUAAAAAACUGUUGUUCAAGUAGAUCUCUUCUAGUGCUGUAAAAGAUAAAAUACUUAACGUGAAUUAUAUAACAAUAUACAUUUUUCUAAUAAGUAAAAAAUAUUUUAAAAAAAAAACCUAAACUUUAUUCAACUGAGGGUUUUGUUGGUAUAACAUAAGAAUGUGGCAAGAAGGUCGGAGGCAGUUCACUCAAUGGGCCGAGAGUUGUAAGUGGUAGUAGAUAGAUUGGUCCCCUCUUGCUAUAAGGUUUGAGGGGAGUAUUUAAGGGGAACACUUAUAAGCCAUGUGUCCCUGUUUUAUUGGUGGGCUUGUUAUUCAAAGUGUGUGCCCUAUUAGGGUGGCUAUGUGAUUUGAUGUAACCAGGUUAAAGAGUAGUGACAACAGAGUGGUUUAGCUUGGCCUGACGUGGCCUUGGGCAGAGAGAGUGGUGAUUGGCGGGGUUAUUCUGUUUGGUGGGGUUGUCCCAAUUGAUGGGGUCUGGUGAAGGUAUGUUAACUGAGGAUAUGUGUAACAAUUGCCCUCGGUUGAAGGGAAGGUUAUAAAGUAACCUUACCUGAGAAAAAAAGUAUUAGUGAAGUCUCUUUGUUCUGGGCAAGUUCUGUCUAUUUUGUUUCGUAAAAUUGGAGGAAAUUUUUGCGAAGUUUGUGAUUUGAUUGUUCUUAUGAAAUUCACACAAGGUCUUGAAGGUAAGGUGUAAACAUUCAAAGUAUUAAUGUAUGAAGCCUUGGAGGCAAAGUAUAAAUGUGCAAGGUGUUAUUAGAAACGCUAUUUACCUUAGAAGGUUAAAUGUGCCUGAAGAGGCUUUGUUUUUGAAAAUUUUAGUUGUUUGAGAAGUUGAAGUAUGCCUCCUUGAAGCCUGUUUCUAAGAAGAUGAAGUAUGCCUUGAAGGCUAAGUGUCAUAGAAGACGAAGCAUGCCUUGAAGGCUAAGUAUUUGAGAAGAUGAAGUUUGCCUUAAAGGCUAAGUGCCGAAGAAGACGAAGUAUGCCUUGAAGGCUGUGUCUAAGAAUAGCAAGUAUGUCUCGUAGGUUAAGUGUUUGAGAAGUAGAAGUACGCAUUAAAAGCUAAGUUCCUGGAAAUAUUUGCUUGAACUUUGCACAAUAUUUUUCCCUGGAAAACUUGUAAUUACUUAUAUAAUUGUACCUUCAUUGAGGUAUGCCUGAAAAGGUUGAAAGGUACUCGCCAAUGGAGUAUGCUUAUGAUAUUUAUCCCCGCAAAGCUUGAGGAAUGUAAGUAAUUAUUUAUAAUAUGCAUAAGUUAUACAAUGCUUAUCCUUUAGCUAGGUAUGCAUGGAAGUGAGCUUGGCAUAUGUGGCCAGUACCUUUCAACCUAACUGUGCGGUUAGUGAUUAUAUUUAUAUUAAAUAUACACAAAUUUAUAUUUAUCACUGCCAUGCUUCAGACCUAACUGUGCGGUUUACACAAAUUUAUAUUAAAUAUAAUUUUUAUAUAAAUUUUACACCCGAUGCAAAAAGGCAUUACAGGUACGAACAUUUACUUUAACUGUGUAUUUGCCUUUUCAUGUAUUUUUUUAAUUUCAGAUCUAUGCCUCUUCUUUUUUUCUGUUGGUUUUUGGGUUUUCGUCUUUAGAAUGUCUCUACCUUUUCAUCUCUGUUCUAAUUUCCAGAUCUAUGCGUCUUUCCUUGUUUUUCAGUCUGCUUUUGUUUGAGUUUUUGGUUCUCAGCGUUAUGAAGAACUGUUUUGGUUUGUCCUUUCAAAUCUAUUGAUGUUUGUAUCGAUGUUCUUUAGUCAGUUUAUCGACUACUACGUGUUGUUUUUGCUUAUGAUUUGUCUUUUUGCCUUCUCAUUUCUGUUUUGGGGUGGUUUGUUUAGAUGGGACGGUUUCGU